GUCAGACUCCACUGAAAAGCAUCCAGACCUUCAUCCACAGGAAGGUGACCUUGUGUGUUAUCCAACAACUCUUCUACUGGCUCAAGGAUGUGCUCCAGAGAUUGGCCCAGAAGAAGAAGAAUGCUUGCUGGACCGAAUAUGUCCCUCUUUCUCUCAAAACAUGAGCAUCAGACCAUUUAUUGUAGGACAGAGAGCUCCUUGCAGCAGAACGAGAGGAUAAGGACAGACCUGUGGAUUUCCAGGUGAUUGUCUCCUGUGACCAGGUUCAUGGCCCUCGAGACUGCAAGAGCAAGAUGGGCAACGAGCAAGCAGCCGCCUCUUUCCCAGGCACGAGUGCAUCGAUCCUCUGCGUCCUUGAAAUUCACCUCUUUAAGGUGAAUUAAAGUUGCACGGGCACAUGGUGAGGAUGGAUAAUCACCUCUGCUGUGUUACUUGGGAUGUGUCCAUACAGCUGACUGGGAAGGAGAAGGUAAGAGCUGUUGUCAAUAAGUUGCUUAGAGAGGCUGUCAAACUAAUAUGGCCAGUGGAAGGCUGUUGGGGCAACUGAGAUGGUUGUUGAGCUCUGACUGUCUUGGCCACCUCCUCACACGGUCCCACACUGCACAAUGACCUGUCUGUCUGUCCAUGCUCGAGGUGGGGCUCUUGGUACAGAACCUGAGUCUUGUGCUUUGUCCCAUGGGAUCAGACUAUGGACUCUACCAGGAUGUCAAUAGUGCCAGUGGAAACCCAUCCAAGGUCUGCUUGUGAGGAGCAGUGAGCUAGCUUGUCUUCAGUCAAUCCCAUAUUUUAAAUAAUAGCAAUAACUCAAUCAGCAAUUAAAUAAGGAAUUUUUUUUUUUUUGGGUGCUCUAAACCUGUGAAUAAUACAGGUACCAGUGUCAUAUUGUCAUACUAACCACAUUUUGUUGGGUGUAGGAGCACAUCCAGGUUCCUUCACCUCACUUUGGGAAGGACAUCUUUGUCACUUGGGGGACACACCUUGGACGUAGGUUUUAUUUAGUGUGUUGGAUUGCAGAACAAAUGGUCAGAUCUCAGCCUGAGACUGACUUACCUUGGAAUUACCGGAAAUCUGGAAAAAAGAGGACUAGUUGAGUGGACCUAGACUAAUGAGAAAGGACAGCACCUCUGUUCUACGCAGACCCACAGAACAAAAAUAGAAGGGCACAAGAAUGGAAAGAAAUAAAGAUUAAUUCCUUUCUUUGGCUGGAAAUCAAACUGGAAUCCAGCACCAAUGUCAAACAUUUUGACUGGAUUUUUUAAAAGGGUUGGAUUAGUUCAUUGUUAUUACUCACUGUAGCUACUCCUAUCAACAGAUAAAUAUGGGUCUAUUUAAGCCAAAUGCUCUUUCCCAACUUCAAAAUUAUACAACCGAGAGCAAAGUUUGGCUAUCUAGAAGUAAUCAAACCUAAUGCCUCAUGCUGUACAGUAACCUUUUUUGCCUGAAGAGGUCAGGAAGGAAAUAUUUUCCCACACUAAUGGGUAACCUCAGUUUUAUUUUUCAGCAGCUGACAUGUUCUUGAGGUACUUGCUCGUUAAUGCUGGAGACACAACGUGCCACUGCCUAAUUCUUUGUGGCAGAGGUGUUGCUACUCCAGUAAGGGGAAAACGUUUAACACCCUAGAAAAGAGGGAGCAGCUGUUCCCUUUGCUUCACAGGGUACAGCUCUGCCAUCCCUCCGUGGUCCUCCAAGCUUCGGUCUACGUCCUUGCACUUUCAGCCAAUCAAAUGUAAGUUUUAAGGGAUCCUGUAAUUCUCUACGUCCUAUUAAUCCACAAGGAAGCACAAAGGUGAUGCAGGGCAUCAGGUAGUGUCAGCUCUCCAGCACAUGUAGGUACAAAACUCAUCGAGCACACCUUUGCCUAACGAGAAAGCAGAGGUGUUCUGACAAGCAAGAACAACAAAUAAUAAAAAUAAUAAUGAUAAUAAUAAUAAAAAAAGCCACUAUCCUGUCAAAUGCUGUGUGCAUAUCAAGCAAAGCAGACUUAACAGCAAUCACAUUUUGAGUAGAAUCCGCUUGAAUGUAACACCUUCUCCCUCUAAGGUUUUGAGUGUGGUAUCUUAAAGAAGAUCACACAAAUUACUCAUUCUGGGAACAAAGGCUCCUUUUUGAAAGCUGUCAGCUUGCUGACAGUUAUGAUGAGCAUUUACUUCAGGCUUGUAAAACAUAUUAAUCAAACUUGUUCCUAUAGCUUCAGUCCAAGGAGGGUUACUGUUUCUUUUAGAGAGAUGUUUUACAUAAGUGAGGAGCUGUGCGUACGUAUACACCUUGAAUUCAAACCACUGUCUAUGCCAUUCAUUUAUUCGUAAUGAAUAAAUACUAGUCUACACGGGGCUUAGGGAAGAUUGAAGCAGUGUAUGGAAAUCUGUUUAUUACAAGACUGUUUGCCAAAGACCUAUGCACCAUUCAUUGAACCUUGAAAAACAUUUGAAAAUAUGGGUUGCAUUUGCAAACUUCAAUGUAUGACAUGGAGAGCUGGCAAGCUGCCUGGUUUCUACUUAAAGGAUUGUCAUUCUGGGAAAAAUAAAUUUCUCUAACUAGACAAAAGUCAAUGUUUUCAUGUUUUACUGCAAUCAAACUGAUAUGGCUGACAAUUUAAUGUCUCAACACUUAAAAUAUCUGUGGAUAAUCAGUUACCUCAAUCAAUCAUAACUACAAGAUUUCUCUAUUUUCAAAGCCUGUAUACAUGUGACUGAGAUAUUUAACAGUUUAGAGAAACCUCCCCAUCCUUAAUCCUUCAUGAUUUCUCUUGAGCCGUGCAUGUUUCUUUUUUCUUUUUUUCCCAAAUGCACAAUUUUAUAAUUGCUGAAAAAAAAAAAAAAAAACCAAACCCUGUGCUGUAAUCAGAUUUUGAAACCUUUGUGUUAAUGUCCUGUUUUAUUUAAUUUUAUGUAUAUUUUAUAGUCUGCUUGCCUGUCAAAAAGAUGUGGAAAUGUGCUGGCAUUCCAGCUGAAGACAUCAUUAUGAGUGAGAAAAUGCUCAAGGCUUUUUCAAAGUGGGUGCUGAAACACACGUUUCUCUUCUUUGACUCCAGGGGAUGCUAACAGCUGCCCCAGCAGACAGGUAUUGCGAGGUCAAAGGCUAGCAGAGCUGUGCACCUCCAGGAUUGGACUGCCAGCCAAGGAGACGGGUAGUUUCUCAAAAACUAAUAACAAAAAUAGCAACAAUGAUGAGAAGGCGACGGAGCUGACAACAAAAAUGAAAAGGAACCCGCAAGAAGUGGAUUCUGGGUAGCGCAACACUUGGCAGAGCUGAUUUUAAUAUCUGACAGGUUGAGUUCACUAAUCUUUGCUAUUCAUAUUGACGUGAAACUUCAUACAGUUUUAGAGAUUUGUAUCUAUUAAGACAUGCAGCAGUGUUCCUACAACACGGGAACAAGUUUGCUAGCGCCUGCCGUUCUUCUUCCUCCCUGAUAAAAAUUGAUAUGAACUGUUUUAAACGCCUAACAGAUAAUUACUCUCAACACUCAAUAAGGGGAGCUACGUCUGUAGAGCCUCCUUUAUCUUUAAAAAUAAUAAUAAUAAUAAUAAAAAAACCCCACACAACCAAAACAAAACCCCAAGCCCAAACCCCACCAACAAGACAAAACAACAUUCUUCUCCCCCGUUUCUUCCCCCCACCCCCCCUCUCUUUUGUUUCUUUGAUUACUUGGAGCCUUGUAAUCAAACUAAGCUUAGUUUCGGGACCCUUGGGGCAGUAUCUCUUAGUUCCCUGUCAGGCUGCGUUGCGAAACAAUCAAUCUUGCUCCGGCGCGCCCGGCUGGGUGGAAGUGCCGCAACACGGGGAGAGCUCUUUGGCUUUGCUCUGGCUGUGAAGCUCCGAUGA